rnacentral:misc_RNA from 1 species
GGGAGUUCCCCUGUUGGGAUGAGGAUCAGCGCGAUAAUACAGACAAUGAGAAAAAUGAGAAUCCUGCUGACAAAGGUGCUGGUGUUCUUUUCUCUUUGUCGAAGGACAAUGUGUUGGCUACGCCUGUGGCAGCUUUGAUUGGUAUGAGAAGCAAAGUUGGGGAUGUGUUAUGUGACAGGAAUGGGCUUUUGAAUGAAAAGCAGG